AAUAUUUGACCAUGGGGGCAACCCUGAUCCAGCCAUGCCGCGUCUGUGAAGAAGGUCUUCGGCUUGUAAAGCACUUUAAGUUGGGAGGAAUGGCUUUAGGUUAAUACCCUUAACUUUUGACGUUCCCCACAGAAUAAGCACCGGCUAACCCCCUGCCAGCAUCCGGCGUAAUCCGUAGGUGGCAAGAGUUGACCGGAAUUAUUGGUCGUAAAGCGCACGGAGGCGGCCCCUUAAGUUGGAUGUGAAAUCGUGCGGCUUAACCGCAAGCGGUCAUUGGAAACUGGGGGGCUUGAGUGCAGGAGAGGAAAGCGGAAUUCCAUGUGUAGCGGUGAAAUGCGUAGAGAUAUGGAGGAACACCAGUGGUGAAGGCGGCUUUCUGGCCUGUCACUGACGCUGAGGCGCGAAAGCGUGGGGAGCAAACA
rnacentral:rRNA from 1 species